rnacentral:rRNA from 2 species
GGGUCAGUAGGUUGGUCGUGCCACAGGUAUGAACUGGUCUCACUGAUUCCUCCUUCCUGAUGAACCGUAAUGCCAUUAAUUUGGUGUUGCGGGGAGACUGGACUGUUACUUUGAAAAAAUUAGAGUGUUUAAAGCAGGCUAACGCUUGAAUACAUUAGCAUGGAAUAAUGAAAUAGGACGUUCGGUCUUAUUUUGUUGGUUUCUAAGAUUGACGUA